rnacentral:rRNA from 1 species
ACGAACGCUGGCGGCGUGCUUAACACAUGCAAGUCGAACGGAAAGGCCCUGCUUUUGUGGGGUGCUCGAGUGGCGAACGGGUGAGUAACACGUGAGUAACCUGCCCUUGACUUUGGGAUAACUUCAGGAAACUGGGGCUAAUACCGGAUAGGAGCUCCUGCUGCCUGGUGGGGGUUGGAAAGUUUCGGCGGUUGGGGAUGGACUCGCGGCUUAUCAGCUUGUUGGUGGGGUAGUGGCUUACCAAGGCUUUGACGGGUAGCCGGCCUGAGAGGGUGACCGGGCCCAUGGGGAAGGGGAUACGGCCCGGAGCCCUGAGGGGGGCAGAAGGGGGGAAAUUUGCAAAAGGGGCGGAAGCCUGAGGCAGCAACGCCGGGGGGGGGUGGACGGCCUUCGGGUGUUAAACCGUUUUCCCCUGUGACGAGGCGGGGGGGAGGUGAAUGGGUAAAAAAGCACCGGCUAACUACUU